rnacentral:lncRNA from 1 species
AAAACGUGUGCGUGAGGUGUGCGUUUUAGGUGUGCUGCACCGGCUGUUGUUCCCGAUACGUUAUGUGGAUGGAUUGGAAACAACACCGGUCUUAGAUAUGUGGAGUGAAAGCACUCCACAUUAUCGAGUUUGUAGGUGUGAGUGGUGGUUUUGGGUGGAUUGAUGUAUACUCUUGUUAGACCUUUGUGGAAUAAUUAAUAAGAUGGUUGCAUGCGUCGAUUGAUGCAGAGGCCGGGGGUUUAAC